UGUAUUUCAUCCAGUAUUUUUAGGUGUGGAAUGUGAUGCCUUCACAACAAAAAGAGGCCUACCAAGUACUAUGGGUUUUUUUUUUUUUUUUUUUUUUUUAGUGCUAGAUGAUAACAACACAGUUCUCGAAUCGUGGAUAUUGCAAAUGGCUAAAGAACAUCAUCCAUGGCAUUGGAAAUUAACUCUUGGAGUCCACUCUAGAAGAACAGCACCUGAGAAGAUACGCACACUGCUUGAUACUUGUGUUCGCCGUCGGUUAGACCAAAUGCGUUCCUAUUAUCUUUCAACUCAGCUGUGCUCGGCAGCAGACAACCUGCAAUCUGAUGUAAGAGAAAAGAGGGUUUAAAAAGAGAGAGAGAGAAAAGAGGGUUUCUCUAAGUCAGAGAAACACAAAUACCACGUGAUUUCACUCACAUGUGGAACUAAAAAACAAACAAGCAAAGAAAUGAUCAUAGGAGAGAAAAAUAGAGAUGCCCACCAAGAAACAGGCUUUCCCCUAAGGAGAACAAGCUGAUGGUUACCAGGGGGAGGUGUGUGGGGACGGCUUGCGUGGGCGACAGGCAUCACGGAGCGCGCUGUGGUGAUGAGCACUGGGUGUUGCAUGUCAGUGUUGACUCGCCAAAUUCUACACCUGGAAGUAAUAUGGCCCUGUGUGCUACCUAAUUGCAAUUUAAAUAAAAACCUGUAGAAAAAGGGGAAAGG
rnacentral:lncRNA from 12 species